CCCCUUGCUUAUGCUCGCUUGCGUGCUCUCUCUCUGUCAAAUAAAUAAAAUCUUAAAAAAAAAAAAUAGAAGCUGAUUUCACAGCAAAUUUGAGACUCUGAGAUCAGAAGAGC